AGGACUAACGCUGGCGGCGUGCCUAACACAUGCAAGUCGAACGGGGUAGCAAUACCCAGUGGCAGACGGGUGAGUAACACGUGGUCAACCUACCUCUAUGUGGGGGAUAACUAGCCGAAAGGUUAGCUAAUACCGCAUACGAUCGCUUUGGGGCAUCCCUAGGCGAUGAAAGGAGCAAUCCGCAUAGAGAGGGGACUGCGUCCCAUUAGUUAGUUGGUGGGGUAACGGCCUACCAAGACUCCGAUGGGUAGCUGGCUUGAGAGAGCGACCAGCCACACUGGAACUGAGACACGGUCCAGACUCCUAUGGGAGGCAGCAGUGAGGAAUUUUCCGCAAUGGGCGAAAGCCUGACGGAGCGACGCCGCGUGUGGGAAGAAGGCCUUCGGGUCGUAAACCACUGUCGAAGGGGACGAUAAUGACGGUACCCUUGGAGGAAGCCCGGCUAACUACGCGCCAGCAGCCGC
rnacentral:rRNA from 1 species